rnacentral:rRNA from 1 species
CGCGUAGGUGGUCGGGUAAGUUAUCUGUGAAAUCCCUGGUUUAAGCGAGGGCGUGCAGGUAAAACUGUCUGACUUGAGUGCAGGAGAGGGAAGCGGAAUUCCAAGUGUAGCGGUGAAAUGCGUAGAGAUUUGGAGGAACACCAGUGGCGAAGGCGGCUUUCUGGACUGUAACUGACACUGAUGCGCGAAAGCGUGGGGAGCAAACA